UUGACUGCGAGCGUGACGGCGCGAGCAGGUGCGAAAGCAGGUCAUAGUGAUCCGGUGGUUCUGAAUGGAAGGGCCAUCGCUCAACGGAUAAAAGGUACUCCGGGGAUAACAGGCUGAUACCGCCCAAGAGUUCAUAUCGACGGCGGUGUUUGGCACCUCGAUGUCGGCUCAUCACAUCCUGGGGCUGAAGUAGGUCCCAAGGGUAUGGCUGUUCGCCAUUUAAAGUGGUACGCGAGCUGGGUUUAGAACGUCGUGAGACAGUUCGGUCCCUAUCUGCCGUGGGCGCUGGAGAACUGAGGGGGGCUGCUCCUAGUACGAGAGGACCGGAGUGGACGCAUCACUGGUGUUCGGGUUGUCAUGCCAAUGGCACUGCCCGGUAGCUAAAUGCGGAAGAGAUAAGUGCUGAAAGCAUCUAAGCACGAAACUUGCCCCGAG
rnacentral:rRNA from 1 species